rnacentral:piRNA from 1 species
UAUUGCAGACAUAAUGACCAAUCAAUAAUGG